rnacentral:rRNA from 1 species
GUUUAGCUCGCCGUAACUCAGACAUCCACUACAAUUAGAUGUCCGCCAGGGUACUACGAGCAUUAGCUUAAAACCCAAAGGACCUGACGGUGUCUCAGACCCCCUUAGAGGAGCCUGUUCUAGAACCGAUAACCCCCGUUUAACCUCACCACUUCUAGUCACCCCAGCCUAUAUACCGCCGUCGUCAGCUUACCCUGUGAAGGAUAUAAAAGUAAGCAAGAUGGGCACAGCCCAGAACGUCAGGUCGAGGUGUAGCGUAUGAGGUGGGAAGAAAUGGGCUACAUUUUCUAUUUAUAGAAUAUUACGAACAUGCACCAUGAAACAGUGCUUGAAGGAGGAUUUAAUAGUAAAAGGGAAAUAGAGUGUCCCUUUGAACCCGGCUCUGAGACGCGUACACCCCC